rnacentral:rRNA from 1 species
AGCGAACGUUUGCGGCGGGCUUAACACAUGCAAGUCGAACGGGCUGUUCCUUCGGGGGCAGUCAGUGGCGCACGGGUGCGUAACACGUAGGUAAUCAACCCUCUGGUUGGGGAUAACACUUCGAAAGGAGUGCUAAUACCCGGUAUGGCGCAGCGGUCUUCGGAUCGCGGCGAGAAAGACCCGCAAGGGUUGCCAGAGGACGAGCCUGCGGCCCAUCAGCUAGUUGGCGAGGUAACGGCUCACCAAGGCGAAGACGGGUAGCUGGUCUGAGAGGAUGAUCAGCCACACUGGAACUGAGACACGGUCCAGACUCCUACGGGAGGCAGCAGUGGGGGAAUAUUGCGCAAUGGGCGAAAGCCUGACGCAGCCACGCCGCGUGAGCGAUGAAGGCC